rnacentral:ncRNA from 2 species
CGUAUUCACCAGGGGGGUCCCGACAAGGGGCUGAGAUUCUGCUGGCAUGACAGGUGGCUUUGCCACCCUCAAGCAGCGCAGUGACCCGUUGAACCUGAUCCAGUUCAUACUGGCGUAGGGACGGUGCAAGCGCUGCUGA